rnacentral:rRNA from 1 species
CCCGCGAUGACGCUGGCGGCAUGCCUUACACAUGCAAGUCGAACGGCAGCACGGGGGCAACCCUGGUGGCGAGUGGCGAACGGGUGAGUAAUACAUCGGAACGUGUCCUGUAGUGGGGGAUAGCCCGGCGAAAGCCGGAUUAAUACCGCAUACGCUCUACGGAGGAAAGGGGGGGAUCUUAGGACCUCUCGCUACAGGGGCGGCCGAUGGCAGAUUAGCUAGUUGGUGGGGUAAAGGCCUACCAAGGCGACGAUCUGUAGCUGGUCUGAGAGGACGACCAGCCACACUGGGACUGAGACACGGCCCAGACUCCUACGGGAGGCAGCAGUGGGGAAUUUUGGACAAUGGGCGCAAGCCUGAUCCAGCAAUGCCGCGUGUGUGAAGAAGGCCUUCGGGUUGUAAAGCACUUUUGUCCGGAAAGAAAACACGCCUGUUAAUACCGGGUGUGGAUGACGGUACCGGAAGAAUAAGCACCGGCUAACUACGUGCCAGCAGCCGCGGUAAUACGUAGGGUGCAAGCGUUAAUCGGAAUUACUGGGCGUAAAGCGUGCGCAGGCGGUUCGCUAAGACAGAUGUGAAAUCCCCGGGCUUAACCUGGGAACUGCAUUUGUGACUGGCGGGCUAGAGUAUGGCAGAGGGGGGUAGAAUUCCACGUGUAGCAGUGAAAUGCGUAGAGAUGUGGAGGAAUACCGAUGGCGAAGGCAGCCCCCUGGGCCAAUACUGACGCUCAUGCACGAAAGCGUGGGGAGCAAACAGGAUUAGAUACCCUGGUAGUCCACGCCCUAAACGAUGUCAACUAGUUGUCGGGUCUUCAUUGACUUGGUAACGUAGCUAACGCGUGAAGUGACCGCCUGG